UUGCAAAAACCUAAAAAACGUCACCCAGAUUUUAUUUAAAAGACUGUUAACUUAUUUAUUUCUAAGCUUCUCUGAGAUUCUUUAUUAUUAAGUAUCGUCUUCUACUCACUGCAGCAGAUAAUCUGCUUCUCACCCUAUUCCUAGCACCUUCCUCCUUCACUACAUCCAAUGAAUUUUUUCUGUGGUCUUCCUCUUUUCCUCUUUCAUAGCAGCUUCAUAUUCAACAUGCUUCAUCCAACAUAUCCAUUAUCUGUCUUUUGAACAUGCCCAAACCAUCUCAGCCUUUCCUCUACAACUUUGUCUCUUACAGCUCAACCUGAUAUAUCCUUCUGAUGUGUUCAUUAUUAAUCUUAUAAAUUCAUACAUUAUAAAUGUAUUACUUCUACUCCUUGCAAAGGUACCCAUUUGUCACUCCUACCAGUCCUAGAUCCACAAAGACACAUUACCUUGUGACCUUCUCUCCAUCAACACUCUCAAAGCAAUUCUCACAUCUGUAUUGCUUUCACAAAUCUUCAUGGUAUGGCUCAUUAUCUUUAUCCCUGUGUAAUUACUAAAACUGUACAAAUCAACCCUGUUCUUGAAAAUCUGCACCAGUACACUUGUUCUCCAUUUCUCAGGCAUUAUCUGACUCUCUAAGGUUAAAAACUCCUGGAUGUUUCCAUACGUCCACAAAGUAUGUCAUCUGGAUAAGUAAAUGAAAUAAGUUAAACGUAUAACAGAAACAUACUGAGCCCCAUAAAAAAACACAAGAGCCCUGAAAUGUUAUGCAACUGCUCAGCUAAAUCUCCUGCUUGCAGUUCACUGAGAGUCCUGCAGAGGGAGUCACAGGGCCCAUCAGUACAAAACCAGGCGGCAGCGGCUCAGCAGCAGCAGCAAGUGCAGUGCAGAGGAGCUGGAAGAGGCAGACUGUGUGCUGCUGUCGUGAGGAAACACUGCACAGAUGAAGGGACCGUCGCGGAUAGCUGUCGUAUAUUCCUCCGUUUGAUUACUGUUACACAUCAAACGACCCGAUCCUCUUUCCCUCCACCGGGAUCGCGCCGUCGCUGUGGGUCUUUCAUUCGGAGGGACUCGCCUGUUUUUUCCUCCGGGAGGCUGAAUGGAAGCAGCAGCCGAGGGAGCGGUCGGGCUGUCGGAGGCCAGGGAAGGGAGCCCGCUGUCCGGGGCCGCAGCAUCCGAUGAUGCGGACACGGUUGUGGGAGUUAGCUACGGGAUGGACGCCGCAGACAUGGAUGCAGCUGCUAAGAAAGCCUUCAUCACAGAGAUGGCCUCAUCCUCAGGCCAGCCUGGUCAAGGAAAGAAGAUUGGCCACAGAGGGGUGGACGCAUCAGGGGAGACUACUUAUAAGAAGACCACAUCAUCAGCCUUGAAAGGUGCCAUCCAGCUGGGCAUCGGUUACACAGUGGGUAACCUGAGCUCCAAGCCUGAGAGAGAUGUGUUAAUGCAGGACUUUUACGUGGUGGAGAGCAUCUUUUUCCCCAGUGAAGGAAGCAACCUUACUCCAGCCCAUCAUUUCCCGGAUUUCCGCUUUAAAACGUACGCUCCUGUGGCCUUCCGCUACUUCAGAGAACUGUUUGGCAUCAGGCCGGAUGACUACCUGUACUCCCUGUGCAACGAGCCUCUGAUCGAGCUGUCCAAUCCUGGAGCGAGUGGCUCAGUCUUCUACCUUACCAAGGAUGAUGAGUUCAUCAUCAAGACUGUGAUGCACAAGGAGGCUGAAUUCUUACAGAAACUGCUGCCUGGAUACUACAUGAACUUGAAUCAGAACCCUCGCACUUUGCUGCCCAAGUUUUUCGGCCUCUACUGUGUCCAGUCAGGUGGCAAGAACAUCCGUGUGGUUGUUAUGAACAAUGUCCUCCCCCGCGUGGUGCGCAUGCACCUCAAGUACGACCUGAAGGGAUCCACCUACAAGAGGCGAGCGUCCAAGAAGGAGAGGGAGAAGGCCAGGCCCACCUUCAAAGACCUGGACUUCAUGCAAGACUUGCAGGAUGGCCUGAUGAUGGACCAGGACACUUACAAUGCCCUGACCAAGACCCUGCAGAGAGACUGCCUGGUGCUGGAAAGCUUUAAGAUCAUGGACUACAGCCUGCUGCUUGGGGUCCACAACAUCGACCAAGCGGAGAGGGAGAGGCAGAUGGAGGGCUCCCAGGGUGACAGCGAUGAGAAAAGGCCCGUGGCCCAGCAGAAGGCUCUUUACUCCACAGCCAUGGAGUCCAUCCAGGGGGGAGCUGCCUGCGGAGGGUCUAUUGACACAGACGACACGAUGGGCGGUAUCCCCGCCGUUAACGGAAAAGGAGAAAGGCUUCUUCUCUUCAUCGGACUCAUCGACAUCUUGCAGUCUUACAGGUUAAUCAAGAAACUGGAACACACGUGGAAGGCUUUGGUUCAUGAUGGGGACACUGUAUCGGUCCACCGGCCAGGAUUCUAUGCCGACAGAUUCCUGAAGUUCAUGAGCGCCACAGUUUUCAAGAAGAGCUCCUCUUUGAAGUCCUCUCCGUCAAAGAAGGGUCGUGUGUCCUUGACGGUGCCCAAGUGUGGUGGUCCUGGUGCAGCUUGGUCAGCCAGCCAGCUGCCCUCUGAGAGAGACGAGAAUAUCUACGACCUGAGAGGAGCUCGCAGCUUCCCAACUCUGGAGGACGAGGGGAGACCAGAUCUUCUUCCAUGUACUCCUCCAUCAUUCGAGGAGGCCACAACAGCAUCAAUUGCCACCACGCUCUCCUCCACCACCUCUUUGUCCAUUCCUGAGAGAUCUCCUUCUGACACGGCCGAACACCCCCGCUACAGGAGGCACACCCAGUCACUUAGCCAUGAUGGGAGGACCCAGGAGGAGCUGCGUGUGCGUGAGGAGGAUCAGCAGACCAUCACAGUGGAGGUGGAGCUGAAGAGACACGACAGUGAGCCCACCAUCUCUGUUCCUCAGCCCUCACCUGAAAUCAGUGACGUUCAGGAAGUAGCCGGCGCAGAGGCUCUAGACGGUGCCGCAGCAGAACCUUCAGGCUCUUCGUCAGCACCUGAAUCUGCCUCCUCCGCAUCCUCGUCUGCUCUAGCUGCUUCCUCCUCCCCGGGGCCACCCGAAGAGGCCACAUAUAGCCCAAAGGAGGCGGUGGCAGUGGAAGCAGACAGGGCCAGCCAGGUGUCCGGUUCAGGGUGCACCAGUCAGGCUUCGGUUGAUGACGACGACGAUGUGCCAAUCACAGAUAUCUACUUUAUGCGCUAACACAUGGACCACAGGAAAGGAGUGGAGGAUCAGGCUGGUAUGGGAAAAGGAGUGUGCGCAGCUCUUGUUUGCAGUGUGUGGUGCUUUCAGCUAAUUGAAAUGUUUUGGGAAACAUUUUGCUUUCUUGCUGGAGGCAAGUUAUAAGACUGAUAUCUGUUAUCCUGUUUUUAAUGCUCAGCUUAGUCUGUUGGCAGGUAGAUUAGCGUUUAGAUGUGAGAGUCGAGUCACUCUUCUCAUCUACCUCUUAGCAAGAGGCAUAUUUCCCAAAAUGUUUUCUUUAAACACAGGUGUGCGCUUCGGUUUGGAGUGUUUGCUGAGUGAUGUUAGAGUGAUGUAUACCUUCACUUUGUUGCUCCUGUCUCAAAUGAUCUUGAGCCAACCUUGAGCCACACACACACUCACAGGAUUUUUCUAAAUAACAUUUAAAGCUUUUUUCUUUUUUUUUCCAUUUGCAUCUCUCAGUCUCAGUACUGUCAGAUAGUAUUGUGCUAGCAGUGUACCCAAAAGCGUAGCUAUAAAUGAAUGUAUGAGCAUCGGGUGAAGGAGAGCAGAGCUACUGAUCACAGUUACAGAUAGAAACGUUCUCACUUGGCCUGUCAGGAAUUAAACACCUUCUAAUGUGGCUUUGAGAAACUUUAAUGACCAACAGGUUGGUCUGUGAGCUCCCUCAGUAAUUUAACAGCCCUCUCAUCUAACCGGCUGUGGCUGACGCCCAUUUCAAGCUUCAAAAGCAGGAGAUCCUCUCUCUGUGCACAGCAGCAGGGGGUCUGUAGCACUGCGUGACAAAAAGUGACACCACACACAUCCUGAAGUGUAACUACAAAGAAGCAUGCCACAGGCAGAGCGCUCAGAAGGGACUUCAUGGAGUGGCAAAGAGCUUGUUGUUCUAUUAGCUGCUGAUAAAAUGCCAACAACACAAACUACAGUAUAAAAGGAAUAUGGGCAAGUGUGUUUAGACUGGAUUUGUACCACAAUACUCAGUUUAGCCUUUCGUCUUUUUGUGCUCUCCCCUCGCACCGAAGAAUAAAUUGGAUUUCUGCAUGAUUGCCCAAACUGCUGGCUCCAAUCUUAAACACUUCAGGUGCUGCUCCAGUUCAUUCACACAUGAAGAGCAAGACUCAUGUUUCUGAAAUUAUUUCUCAGAAGUUUCAAAUGAAAUUAUUAACAUGCUACAAUCUGGAGCAGUGUUUAAAUGCCUAAUGUCUAAAAUUUAUUUCUAUAGAACAUAAUAUUCCAAAAAAGUUGACCAAAGUGCUUCACAGUCGGUCAGAGCAAUAGACAGAAUAAAAAAACAGCUAAAAGGAGGGCAGGAAACAAUAUGGGUAAACAGCAUAACUAGCCACGAAAUAACAAACUAGUUUGCAUCAAAAGCCAGACCAAAAUAAUACGUUUUAAGACGCAAUUUAAAAGACUGGAUGGAUUCGGAGGAACAAAUAUAAGGAGGGAGGUUAUUCCAGAGUCUGGGUGCUAAGAUAACAAAGGCCCGAUCACCUCUGGACUUCAGUUGAGACCUCGGUUGCGUCAGGAGCAUUUGAUUGGAAGAUCUAUGUCCUCUAUUAAGAAUAUACAAAUGGAGGAGUUCACAUAGAUAGCUGGGAGCCAAAUUGUUUCAAAUUUUAGAGGUAAAUUGAUACAAUGCAAGUUGGCUAAAACUGGUGUGAUGUGAUCAUAAUUUCUAGUGCCAGUUAAGAGACGCGCAGCUGCAUUUUGAACUAACUGGAGCCGGUGAAUAGAAGAAUAUGGGAGGCCCGAGUAGAGAGAAUUACAGUAGUCCAAUUUGGAAGUGAUAAAAGCAUGAAUGAGCUUUUCAAGAUCCAUCAAGGGAAGGUAUGGCUUUGCUUUAGAUAGAUCAAGAUCACACUCAGGUCUGUUGGGACUGCAGAAAAUAUCCGUUUACAUCACUCCUAUAAAAAAUAUCUCUUUAAUCUGACUUUCUGCACAUUUUGGUUUGCUUAUUUUAACACCACCAAAUUAUGGGAACGUUUUUUACUAGAGAAAAUCAAUAUGAAUUAGAUUUCAGUGCUUGUGAGAUUUGUUCCAUCAUUUCUGCAAGGAGGAGCGAAUUGUGAUGCAUAAAAACCCAGUUUAUCAUCCCAAGACUGUUUGAUAGUCUAUCAAGCUGCUGAAACAAUUUAAUGGUUUUAAAUUGUAGAUUUUUUAGAGAUGGAAAUUAAGUAUAUGUCUGAAUUUUGAAGAGUUGUCAGCAUUUAAGCUUGUGUAUUUCCCCAUUAAAAACAUCACAGCUGUGAGACUGAAAAGAAGAGAUUGAUUGGGAGUUUAGUUUUUAUGAUUCACAUCCGUACUCACAUCAUGUGUUUGUUUCUCUUCUUUUGCCCACUCUCAUUUCUGUUGCCUCUCAUGUCCACCCCAUUGACCCGUUACACCUCCUCGCUCAAACGUUCAGUUUUUUGCCAUUCCCUUUCCACCUCACAUCCUUUGUUUACUCCCUCCAUGCUCUCUCUCUUCUUUCACAUGUUCUCAUUAUUGUGAUUUUCUUCAGAAGCCAUAAUGAAAGUGCCGAGAUGGUGGUGUUGUAUGCAAGCGGGAAAUGAAAACAGAGGCGGCAGCCAAACACGUGAAUCUAGCUGUGACCACCGACUUAUCCAGUGUAUCCGUGCCUUUUCCAUUUUCACCCCAGCAUGCUUCCUUUUUUUUUUUUUUUUCAGUGUUUUAUUUUGAGUUUUCCUCCUCGCCCCCAUGUCCCCCUCCACCCUAUUUUCAGCUUUUCAUCUGUCUUUGUUUGUCCAUCUGUCAUGUACCUCUGCUGUUGUCAGUUUCCUGAUGGGAGGACCUGGGUGGUCUCUCCUUUCCGACAACGGAGGAAAUGCCAGUCUGGUCAGCCAUAAAUCCUGUUUUCUGGCAGACAGGAGUGAACGUCUCAGCGGAGAGGACUCAUCAGUCUAAAGUCCAGACCUCAGUGGCAGCAGCGCGAUCUCUGUCUGAACCAGGAUUUAAAAACAUGCAUACAGAAACACACUGAGAGGAAAAAGUGACUGUACCAGAGUACCAGAGGGAGAAAACAAAAAACCCUGACAGUGAUGAUAUCACUGGUUUGCAACCAUCCCUGCCUUUCACCCUUUGACAAAUGAAAUUUAUUACAUCAGUUUAAUAAAUAAUUGUAUGUGUGACAUAGUGCGCAUAAGGCUGUAUGUAGUCUUGUAUGUUUGACACACCCAAAAGACCACGAUAACCUACUUUUUGUUCUGUUUCACACUAACACAGCCCUCCAACCGACUCUUUCCCGCCGAAUCUCUGAAAGACAUUUUUAUUCGUCAUAUCCUUUAUGUUGCAAAGCAGAUUUCUCUACAGGUCACACAUACUAGCCAGCAGUCAUCUCCUGGGUUCUGUGAUCAAACAAAACCACGAGCAGCUCAUUAAAACAUUGCUCCAUGACACAAAUGCGGGUUAAAAAAAUGCUAAAUUGAGUGGAUGCUCCUUAUAGAAAUGUACCUGUAAGUUUUAAAGUAUUAAAGUUUUCCAAUUUUAAGCAACUGUUCAUCUUUUGUAGCGAGGCUUUAAUGAAGUUAUAUUAGUGCUACUACUGCCUUCAGUUCUCAAUAAAGAAAAUGAAUGGCACAUCCAGAACUAGGAGCAUAUAAAGUAUUUUCUCCCAGUAAGGAAACCUAAUUUGAGGAAAAAUGAAAUUAAACUCGUUAAUCUCAAAAUUAUCUCCAGUGCAAUUACCUCAGACUGCAGCAUAUCAGUCAUCCUGUGACUGCGCUGGCUGCUGUGUUUCCAACCAGUUUGAAGGAAAUCUCCAGCUCAGUGGUAGUAAUUGCUGCCAGUAUGGUGCCCAUUUCCACUAUGCCGCUGGUGUUGAAGUUAAUUAGCUGUGUCUGCUUUUCUAUGAUAAUCUUACCAGAGGUCAUCAUCACAAAGUUCAGAACAGUUUGAUGCUAAAAGAUUUUUGCAAAACCAAGUGUGCAAAGUACGUCUUACUAGGCGGCCACCAUAGCCUAACAUAACUCUGAUAAAUAGGGCUUUUUCUUUUUUUUUUCUCGAGUCAGUGGAUUACUCUUCUGUAUCCCGUGAUGUUGGAGGGCUCUGUGCUCGCAGAACAGGAGUUACAGUGAAAACCACUUUGAGCCAAUCAAAGCAGAACAUCCAGAUAUCUCUGUCAUCCUUUCAAGUAGUGAAAAUAUGCAGUUUAACUUUAAAAAAAAAAAAAAAAAAUCAUCUACAGCAUUAUUAAAACUUAAGUCCUGUUGUUACAUUUUCAUUUCUAAACUUUUCUUCAGCUGUUUUUACUACUGUGAACUUUUAUUUAUUUGUCUGUUUGUAUUUGAUUGUAAUAUUCACGACUGGUACUUUUCACUCACAGUUUUUUUAAAAUCUAUUUGCAUCCAAAGACUUAGUUUUUGUUUUGCUCAUUUUCUUCACUGCGGUAUUUUGCGGUAUUUUGUUCUCUUUUUCAUGUGUUGUCUAAUUCAGUGUUGUUUUUCACUGCACCACAUGUUGUUCCAAUAGCUGAGGGUGAUGACUCUUGCCUUCAAAAUAGAAGGCGUCAAUUUCAACACUAAGGCAGCAGACAUUGUCAUUACAGUAAUUUUCAUGUCUACACAAUGUCUUCCAGUGUUGCCCUGCUUUUGGACCGACGCACAGGGAUCAUUUGUAACAGUAGAAUCAGCAUAUCAGUUACUUUUUCUACAUCACCUCCUCACGUCAAGAAAUCGGGGAAUCUUUCCAAUGUUUGUAGAUGUAGAGCACCAGUUGUAGUGUUUGCGGUCGAUAUCGUAGCUGUUACCUGUAUAUUCCAGUGAACGCAGUGCGUGUUGGCUUGGUGAGACACAGCAGUUUGUGAAUGGGUUGAAUGUCGUUUGCACUCAUUAAAAGGACCUGAAGAUGAACUAGUUGUAGAGGCCAAAUAAACACUCGUCACAUUAUCCAGAAGUCAUAUUUUCGAGUUCUUAGAUAAGAGUCUCUGCUCACACAUGCUGAUAUUUGGACAGUAUUUAUUUUAGGAUUGUGUGUGUGUGUGUGCACAUGUGUCUUUGACAUCAAUCACAGUCAUUGUACAUUUAGUGUUUACUGUAGUCUCUCUGUGGCUGACAUCUUAAAGACUUAAAGAUUUGGGUUUUUUUUUUUUUUUAAACUAACUACAGGCAGUUUCUUCGGUUCGUUGGUACCUUUUUAUGUGUGUUUGUGUGUAAGGGAGGACACAUCAAUGUCAGGUGUUGUAAAAUAAGAAUCGGUUUGUUCUCAUGAUGUGCAGUGGCCAGUUGUAAUCAGUUUGCUGUUGUUCAUCAGAUGAAGACCAUAGCAGCAAUAUUUUGUACAGUUUAGCUUUUACGUUAAUUGCCUUAUUAGGAAAUUUUACAUGUAGGUCUGUUGUUUAUAUUUUUUUUUCCACUUGUGCUGUAAUAUUUAUUUUUCUUUCUCAUAGUUGUGCUCCUGAGAAUGUGUACAUAAAACUAUAAAUACAUAUAUAAAGAUAUACAAAUAUAUUUUCCAUUUGAAUCGGGAAAAUAUUAUUUUUAUUUGGUUUCAUUUUUGCUGCUGGGCAAGAAAUGAUUGCAAUCUACAUGAUUUUACUGUACCAUAUUCUUCGGUGUGUUUAUUGAGAUGCAGCUGCUGUAUAUUUAUGGUUUGCAAACCACGGCUGUGUCUUUGUAUGAUAUCCAAAACCGAAAGAUUUGUGGGGUUUAAUGUACAUGCAGAUCAAUAGGGAUUCUUCCAACUGUUCAGCUGUGUUGUGUGUGUUUUCAAAUCCCUGUGUGCCCUCAUCCAAUAGGGAGAGUCCUUUACAGAGACAUAGCAUGAUUUCAAAAUGAAUAUGCAUAUCAGAAAUGUGUAUUUAUGUAUAUCUGUGUAAAUUCAUCUAUUUAUACAUGAGGAUAAAUAGAUGGCUGUGUGUGCGUGUGUUUGGACUCAAUCAGAAUGAAUACAAAAUAAAGCAGUUCUAUGAAUUGUUGUCCAUGGAGAUGAUGUGUUUUAGUUGGUUCUUUGUUGGGUGGUUUUUCUUCUUUUGGCGGCUCUGUUUGACUACAUUGGAUCAUCUAGCCUCCAUGUCACCAUAACCAUAGCAUCCACCUCUGUAACGCCAACCCUCUACAUGUCCUCCUUCAUCCGUGAAGCUUCUCUGAGGUCUUCCUCUUUUCCUCCUGCCGGUCAGCUCCAUAUUCAACGUCCUUCAUCCAAUAUAUCCACUAUUGCACAUGAACCAUCUCAGCCUCGUCUCUCUAACUUUGUCUCCAAACACCUCAACCUGAGUUGUCCCUCUGAUCUAAUUUCUAAUCCUGUCCAUCCUGGUCCCUCCCAAUAAAAUCAUGACAUUUUUAGCUCUACCACCUCCAA